GGGCUUUAGCUCAGGGGUAGAGCAUCUGCUUUGCAAGCAGAAGGUCGGGGGUUCGAUCCCCUCAGGCUCC
rnacentral:tRNA from 1 species